rnacentral:rRNA from 1 species
GACGGGGGGAGCAAGCGUUGUUCGGAUUUACUGGGCGUAAAGGGCGCGUAGGCGGUCAGCACAAGUCAGUUGUGAAAUCUCCGGGCUUAACUCGGAAAGGUCAACUGAUACUGUGCGACUAGAGUGCGGAAGGGGCAACUGGAAUUCUCGGUGUAGCGGUGAAAUGCGUAGAUAUCUGGAGGAACACCGGUGGCGAAGGCGGCAUCCUGGACCGAUAUUGACGCUGAUGCGCGAAAGCCAGGGGAGCAAACGGG